rnacentral:rRNA from 1 species
GACAGAGGGUGCGAGCGUUGUCCGGAAUCACUGGGCGUAAAGGGCGCGUAGGCGGCUUGAUAAGCGUGCGGUGAAAGCCCGGGGCUCAACCCCGGGUCGGCCGUGCGAACUGUCGAGCUGGAGCACUGUAGAGGCAGGUGGAAUUCCGGGUGUAGCGGUGGAAUGCGUAGAGAUCCGGAAGAACACCGGUGGCGAAGGCGGCCUGCUGGGCAGUGGCUGACGCUGAGGCGCGACAGCGUGGGGAGCAAACAGG